rnacentral:rRNA from 1 species
AUUGAACGCUGGCGGCAGCUUAACACAUGCAAGUCGAGCGGGGUGAUGGUGCUUGCACUAUCACUUAGCGGCGGACGGGCGAGUAAUGCUUAGGAAUUUGCCUAUUAGUGGUGGACAACACCUCGUAAGGGAUGCUAAUACCGCAUACGUCCUACGGGAGAAAGCAGGGGAUCACUUGUGACCUUUCGCUAAUAGAUGAUCCUAAGUCGGAUUAGCUAGUUGGUGGGGUAAAGGCCUACCAAGGCGACGAUCUGUAGCGGGUCUGAGCGGAUGUAACGCCACAGUGGUGUGGAAACACGGCCGAGAUUCCUACGGGAGGCAGCAGUGGGGAAUGUUGGACAAUGGGGGAAACACUGAUACUGCCAAGCCGCGUGUGUGUAGAAGGCAUUAUGGUUGUAAAGAACGUUAAGCGAAGAGGAGGCUCUUUUGGUUAAUACCCAAGAUGAGUGGAAGUUACUCGCAAAAUAAGCACCGGCUAGCUCUGUGCCAGCCGCCGCAGUAA